GACGAACGCUGGCGGCGUGCUUAACACAUGCAAGUCGAACGAAGAGCGAUGGAAGCUUGCUUCUAUCAAUCUUAGUGGCGAACGGGUGAGUAACGCGUAAUCAACCUGCCCUUCAGAGGGGGACAACAGUUGGAAACGACUGCUAAUACCGCAUACGAUCUAAUCUCGGCAUCGAGGAUAGAUGAAAGGUGGCCUCUACAUGUAAGCUAUCACUGAAGGAGGGGAUUGCGUCUGAUUAGCUAGUUGGAGGGGUAACGGCCCACCAAGGCGAUGAUCAGUAGCCGGUCUGAGAGGAUGAACGGCCACAUUGGGACUGAGACACGGCCCAGACUCCUACGGGAGGCAGCAGUGGGGAAUCUUCCGCAAUGGACGAAAGUCUGACGGAGCAACGCCGUGUGAGCGAUGACGGCCUUCGGGUUGUAAAGCUCUGUUAAUCGGGACGAAAGGCCUUCUUGCGAAUAGUGAGAAGGAUUGACGGUACCGGAAUAGAAAGCCACGGCUAACUACGU
rnacentral:rRNA from 1 species